rnacentral:rRNA from 1 species
CCACGGAUGCUUAGUACGGCGAGUGAAGCGGCAAAAGCUCAAAUUUGAAAUCUAGCACUUUCAGUGUUCGAGUUGUAAUUUGAAGAAGGUAACUUUGCCAUUGCCUCUUGACUUUCAUCCUUGGAACAGGACGUCACAGAGGGUGAGAAUCCCGUGCGAUGAGAUGUCCAAUUCUAUGUAAAGUGCUUUCGAAGAGUCGAGUUGUUUGGGAAUGCAGCUCUAAGUGGGUGGUAAAUUCCAUCUAAAGCUAAAUAUUGGCGAGAGACCGAUAGCGAACAAGUACAGUGAUGGAAAGAUGAAAAGAACUUUGAAAAGAGAGUGAAAAAGUACGUGAAAUUGUUGAAAGGGAAGGGCUUGAGAUCAGACUUGGUAUUUUGUGUUCCUUAUUCUUUUUGGAUUUGGUUCCUCACAGCUUACCGGGCCAGCAUCGGUUUGGAUGGUAGGAUAAUGACAUUGGAAUGUAGCUUUGCUUCGGUGAAGUGUUAUAGACUUUGUUGAUACUGCCUAUCUAGACCGAGGACUGCGUCUUUGACUAGGAUGCUGGCGUAAUGAUCUUAAGCCGCCCGCUGAAAAAGGGGGCCAAAAAAAAAAACCGAUAAAAAUGCAUAGC